GCCCGCGAGGGAGCCCUAGCACAGGUGCUGCAUGGCCGUCGUCAGCUCGUGCCGUGAGGUGUGGGUUAAGUCCCGCAACGAGCGCAACCCCCGCCGUUAGUUGCCAGCGGUUCGGCCGGGCACUCUAACGGGACUGCCCGCGAAAGCGGGAGGAAGGAGGGGACGACGUCUGGUCAGCAUGGCCCUUACGGCCUGGGCGACACACGUGCUACAAUGCCCACUACAAAGCGAUGCCACCCGGCAACGGGGAGCUAAUCGCAAAAAGGUGGGCCCAGUUCGGAUUGGGGUCUGCAACCCGACCCCAUGAAGCCGGAAUCGCUAGUAAUCGCGGAUCAGCCAUGCCGCGGUGAAUACGUUCCCGGGCCUU
rnacentral:rRNA from 1 species